AAAUUCCUGGGGUGAGCGAUAACUUUGCCAAUUUUGAACCUACAUUUUGAUUUAUGGGACUCCAAAGAACUCUGCUUGGAUGUCAGGCUGCUAUAGGCAGAAGGCAGAUAUCAGGGUGAGGUAACCCACCUAGCUUUGCUAGGCGUCAAUAAGCAAAGCCGUCACUUUGGGUGUUUA
rnacentral:other from 2 species